AAAUUAUUAAGUUUAUAUAUUCAGAAAAAUAUACAUAUUUCAUAUCUGAAUAUAACUAGAUGAAACAAUAAAAUAUCAUCAUAAUUGAUACAUCAAGUUUUAAAUUCAUAAAUACAACUUGUACAUUCAUCAAAACAACCAUUAAAAUUUUUUUAAACGCAACUCGCUAUCUUUAUUGGGUACUCCUGCAAUAUGAAAAGAAAGGAACGUAAAAACUUGUAAGUUUUAUCAGUACAAAUGUUAGAUUUCAUCAAGAACAUAUAUGGCAUGAAGAACUCAAACACGCAGGUUUGUAUGGGCGAAACAUACGAACUUAUCAAUUUAAUCAUACGUUCGUAUAUGUAAACAUAUAUAACACAUACAAAGGUAUUAACUAUCUAUACGUUCGUGUUUUAUCAGCACUUUCUUGACAACAAAAACACGAAUAUCUAUAUGUUCGUAUGAGACAGUGAAAAAAACAUACGAGCACCGCCUAUGUUCGUCCCAGUGGGUCGUGAACACAAAGUCCGUAUGUGUAAGUGAAAAUAAAUGAAUUACCACGACAUGCUUUCUUCUCGAUGACGUGAACAAAACAUUCGGAUCAGACAGUGAAACAAACGUACCACCAUAGUGGACACAAAAAACUUAGAAAAAUGAACAAAGAACAUAAUGAAGAAUAUAAAAAUAUCAAGAACAACCAAAUCCACAAGAACUUGAAGAACACGACGAACAAGAGUUUAAAAGGGAGCUCACCUGCCUUUUUGAAAUUUAUAACGCACUGUUCUAGUGUUUCUUCGUGCAAAGAUCCUUCAAAACGAACCUAAAUCGAUCGUCCAUUUAAAGAAAUCCAGAGAGAAAAAACUCAGAUCAAACAAAACCAUAAGAACUAUAAGAGCAUGAAGAACAAGACCCAUAAAAUGGAGAUAACCCACAUUUUCGAGGUUUGUUUACAUUCUUCUAGUGUUAUCUUGUGCAAAGAUCCAUCUUUAUAGUGCUACGAUCCAUCUUGAAGAGCAAAAACGAAAUCUGAUCUAGCAUCCAUUGAAAAAAAAUAAGAG
rnacentral:lncRNA from 1 species